AGUAAUAAUUUCUACAAUUUCAAAUUUUGGAGUUAAACAUUUUUCGAAUUUGCUGCAGUGAUUACUCGAAGACAAAUGAUCCGAUCACUACCAAAUUUUUUUCUGCAUGUUCUGUAUAUAGUUCUUCAUACAAUGACCCUCCAGUUUUUUGAUUUGAUCAAAAAUCGAAUUUUGGCAGGCCAAAAACGACCAAAAUUUUGGGUAAAAUUCAACUUUUUUUUUU